rnacentral:rRNA from 1 species
GAACGCUAGCGGCAUGCCUAACACAUGCAAGUCGAACGGAAGUUGCAAGCUUGCUUGCAACUUUAGUGGCGAACGGGUGAGUAACACGUAUCUAAUUUACCUUUUUGUGGGGGACAACUGUGGGAAACUACAGCUAAUGCCGCAUAAUAUUAUUUCUAGGCAUCUAGAGAUAAUUAAAGGGCUUUAUGCUCGCAAAAAGAUAAGGAUGCGGUACAUUAGCUUGUUGGUGGGGUAAAGGCCUACCAAGGCGAUGAUGUAUAGCCGGCCUGAGAGGGUGGACGGCCACACUGGGACUGAGACACGGCCCAGACUCCUACGGGAGGCAGCAGUGGGGAAUAUUCCACAAUGGACGAAAGUCUGAUGGAGCAAUGCCGCGUGACUGAUGACAGCC